rnacentral:lncRNA from 1 species
CUGAGAGCCUAUGGGAGCUGUAGGAAGUGUCACGUUACAGCAAAGAUCCUCAGUCUUCAAUAAAAAGAGCCAAGAUGAACAAGAACUUGUCAGACAGGUCACUUCCUGUAUGGAAUCUUCUCAGCAUCAGUAGAACACGCCUGAGUCUCCUCCACCAGUCAUACAAGGAGAAUGUUCUAAUGCCUCCCAUUAAAGAGUGCUUGCAUGGGCCAGCUCAGGUUACACUUGAAGCGUGAGGACUUGCAGCGAGUGGUGAACUUCAUCAACAACUACGCAGAGGAUAAUGCAAUAGUAUUACCUGGACGCCACCCAGGACACAAACACUUCGGUGGAAAGCUUCUGCCAUCCCAUGUGGCAAAAGCAGCAGUGUGGUGUCUCUACAAGGAAUCGAUGACAACACUUGCAAACAGUCUGGACCUUCAUUUCCUGAUCACAGGCCACACCAAGUUUUCCCACGACUGGUGCUUCGGCCUCAUCAAGCAACGCUUCAGAAAGACCAGAGUGAAGACUUUGUCAGAGAUUGCUGGUGUUUUGAAGGACAGCACUGUGACAGGGGUCAACAUCCCAAAGCUGGUUGGACUGGAGGAUGAUACAGUGUUGGUGGAAGGCUAUGGCUGGCAACAACAGCUGACUCCGUACUUCAGGCCGCUGCCACAGAUCAAGCAGUACCAGC